AUUGAACGCUGGCGGAAUGCUUUACACGUGCAAGUCGAACGGCAGCACGGACUUCGGUCUGGUGGCGAGUGGCGAACGGGUGAGUAAUGUAUCGGAACGUGCCCAGUCGUGGGGGAUAACGUAGUGAAAAUUACGCUAAUACCGCAUACGAUCUAUGGAUGAAAGCGGGGGAUCGCAAGACCUCGCGCGAUUGGAGCGGCCGAUAUCAGAUUAGGUAGUUGGUGGGGUAAAGGCCCACCAAGCCAACGAUCUGUAGCUGGUCUGAGAGGACGACCAGCCACACUGGAACUGAGACACGGUCCAGACUCCUACGGGAGGCAGCAGUGGGGAAUUUUGGACAAUGGGCGAAAGCCUGAUCCAGCCAUUCCGCGUGCAGGAUGAAGGCCCUCGGGUUGUAAACUGCUUUUGUACAGAACGAAAGGGUUUCUACUAAUACUAGGAGCUCAUGACGGUACUGUAAGAAUAAGCACCGGCUAACUACGUGCCAGCAGCCGCCGUAA
rnacentral:rRNA from 1 species